rnacentral:lncRNA from 1 species
AUGUAUCUGUUUAUUCAAAAACUUAUGGGGGUAGAAUGUCAGCAAUAAGCCUAAUCUUGUAACAGGGUCUAGAAGGAAAGUUGGAAACAAAGCCAUUGCUAUCUCUUUGUGACACCCUUAACUAAGUCUUCCAGUGAAUUUUAGGCCCAAAGAUUCCUAUGUAUUACUCACCCCCAUGUUUUGUGCUGUUAACUGUAUUAUAUAUUAUUUAAAGUUAAAAUUAUUUGGUUUGUGAUUCGUUCUUCCAUAUGACAUUGGGCACAUUUAUUUUAAAACAUGUUCCUGUUAACAUGACUAUCUCAUUGCCUUUUUUGAGAGAAAAAUAGAGAACAACAGAUCUUCAUGAUAAACUUCAAAAGAACAAAUAGAUUAAUUUUAUGUCUUGACUACUGAAAAGGAAAAGAAUAACCUAGCUCUGGUUCUUGCUUAUUGUUUUAAAAUAUUUGCAAUUUAUAAUGUUUUAAAACUAGAUAUGCCAGCUUUGUUUCUACAUUGCAACCAAGAUUAAUGUUUCUUAUUACUUAAUCUUAAAAUCAGCAAUUCAUUUACUCGCCCAAAGCUAUACACUGUAUUUCUGAUAUACUAUCAAAAUAGAAUUAAACGAGAGAAGUGGGUAGAACUGACAUUUAAACCACACCUUCUUUUAGUACUGAUCAAAAAUUGCACAUUAUUUCCUACUCAAAGGGAGCUUAUUCUUAUUUUGAAUUGAUUUUUUUUAAAACCGCAGCUCUAGCAGCAACAAAAUGCCCAAAUACUGCCCUUUCUCUUGUGAAUAACAGUCGCAAAUAAAAGCUGCGUAUAACUAGCAAUAACUGAAUUGAAUGGUUGUGAAUUGCUUUCUCCAAAAUCUGUAUAACUUUUAAAUGGCUAGAACUGCUCUUAUAUGGACUAGACUAUUUUUGACAUGCUCAUAUUUUUAUAGCUUGAAAAAUAAAAUUUGCUUUGUGAAAAGUUUUCUCAAGCUUGUUUUAAGAU